rnacentral:rRNA from 1 species
GGCAGCAGUGGGGAAUUUUGGACAAUGGGCGCAAGCCUGAUCCAGCAAUGCCGCGUGCAGGAAGAAGGCCUUCGGGUUGUAAACUGCUUUUGUCAGGGAAGAAAUCCUCUGGGUUAAUACCUCGGGGGGAUGACGGUACCUGAAGAAUAAGCACCGGCUAACUACGUGCCAGCAGCCGCGGUAAUACGUAGGGUGCGAGCGUUAAUCGGAAUUACUGGGCGUAAAGCGUGCGCAGGCGGCUUUGCAAGACAGAGGUGAAAUCCCCGGGCUCAACCUGGGAACUGCCUUUGUGACUGCAAGGCUAGAGUACGGCAGAGGGAGAUGGAAUUCCGCGUGUAGCAGUGAAAUGCGUAGAUAUGCGGAGGAACACCGAUGGCGAAGGCAAUCUCCUGGGCCUGUACUGACGCUCAUGCACGAAAGCGUGGGGAGCAAACAGGAUUAGAUACCCUGGUAGUCCACGCCCUAAACGAUGUCAACUGGUUGUUGGACGGCUUGCUGUUCAGUAACGAAGCUAACGCGUGAAGUUGACCGCCUGGGGAGUACGGCCGCAAGGUUGAAACUCAAAG